rnacentral:lncRNA from 1 species
AAGAAGAAAUGGAAGUGCCCACGUUUAUGGUUCUGGUGACUUCCAGACUAGUGCUGCAUCAUGUGGCUAAGUGCUGAAGGUGACAUAUGCUAGCAUAUACAAGAUCCUAUAGAAUUAGGGAUCUGCCACGUUUGGUUAUACGCUAGCAUAGACAAGAACCUAUUGAGUUCCGCGCUACAAGAACUUAUUUAAUUGUACGAUUCUACGGAAAAAUUCAUGUCUACUUUCCUAUCCAAGACAGACAAAUACGAAACUAACAAAAUCAGAAAAUAAUUAAACUAAUUGUGUUACCUAAAAAAGAAAAAUUAAUUGUUUACUAUAUUUCUUUUAGAGGAAAAAAAGAGAAUAUUCUCUUUCAGAGGAUAAUAGAUCAGUGGAAUGAUGCAAUAAUUUUAAUAUAUACACCAUUUAGAUUUAACGUUAACCCUUAGCAAUGGUACUGGUAUGAAUAUUUUUUCAUUGAGACAAAAUUCAAAUCCAAUUUGUGAGAUUCAAAUCCAGAGACAGUUUGUGGAUAAAUACCUAACCUACAUUGACACAUGCGUUCGUAGUCAAUCUAUAUACAUCAGUUCCACCGUACGAUUAUAAGAUUUACGACCCGGUAUUUACUACUGAGGCAAGGAAAGGCGAAAGUAUAAAAUUUGAAAAUAUGGCUAUGACGAUCAUUUUUUACCCGAAAUAUAUAAAGUAAAUCCUACAAAAAAUAGACUACGAGUAGAAAAAAGAUGUUUUGGUGAAUAAUGCCGCACUCGAACCACCAAAAGUUUAUUAGAAAAUGAAGAAGAAAAACAAGAUGUACAAGAAAGACAGCUCAUAAUCGAAAAACAGCUGAUGAGAAAAGAAGAAGAACAAGAAAAAAAGAACGACAUCAACAGCACCACUGCCAUUACCAACAACAGCAAGAGACAGGAGAAGGAAAAGUAAAAGAAGGAGGAAAUGAAUUAUUUAUUAAUAAGCCAAUGCUGGACUAUACAAAAGUGCUGUUAAGAUUCUGUGACAAUGAGAAUUCAAUGGAGUGACUAGCAAUUGAACAGCAGACAAACUGUGAUGUACAAGUUAAGCCAGCUUAUGAAACAAUGGUGCUCUGUAUCUCUCAUUUUCCGAAGAACCAAUUCCUUCAAUGAUUUUAGAAAUAUCUAAAGGAGAGGUUUCCGUUAAAGCUGAGGGAAAUCAUUAAGACAUUAAGGAAGAAGGACGCAAGUCUCAAGAGUGACGAGAAAGGGCAAAAAGCAAUUGGGAUUUCCUCGAAGGCAGAAGUUUACACUUGGAUAGUUUGGAUAGUUUUCUUUUGUAAGAUGGUCUAUUGGUAUAGAGAUACCAUAUAUAUUAGGUAUAUUUGAUAUUUGUAAAUGUAUUGGUUAUUUUCUUCAUUGUUUGUUAAUAAAUUAUUAUAUUCUGACA